UAGGGAAUCUUCCACAAUGGACGCAAGUCUGAUGGAGCAACGCCGCGUGAGUGAAGAAGGUUUUCGGAUCGUAAAGCUCUGUUGUUGGUGAAGAAGGAUAGAGGUAGUAACUGGCCUUUAUUUGACGGUAAUCAACCAGAAAGUCACGGCUAACUACGUGCCAGCAGCCGCGGUAAUACGUAGGUGGCAAGCGUUGUCCGGAUUUAUUGGGCGUAAAGCGAGCGCAGGCGGAAGAAUAAGUCUGAUGUGAAAGCCCUCGGCUUAACCGAGGAACUGCAUCGGAAACUGUUUUUCUUGAGUGCAGAAGAGGAGAGUGGAAUUCCAUGUGUAGCGGUGGAAUGCGUAGAUAUAUGGAAGAACAACAGUGGCGAAGGCGACUCUCUGGUCUGCAACUGACGCUGAGGCUCGAAAGCAUGGGUAGCGAACAGG
rnacentral:rRNA from 1 species